CGGACGGGUGAGUAACGCGUGAGGAACCUGCCUUGGAGAGGGGAAUAACACUCCGAAAGGAGUGCUAAUACCGCAUGAUGCAGUUGGGUCGCAUGGCUCUGACUGCCAAAGAUUUAUCGCUCUGAGAUGGCCUCGCGUCUGAUUAGCUAGUAGGCGGGGUAACGGCCCACCUAGGCGACGAUCAGUAGCCGGACUGAGAGGUUGACCGGCCACAUUGGGACUGAGACACGGCCCAGACUCCUACGGGAGGCAGCAGUGGGGAAUAUUGGGCAAUGGGCGCAAGCCUGACCCAGCAACGCCGCGUGAAGGAAGAAGGCUUUCGGGUUGUAAACUUCUUUUGUCGGGGACGAAACAAAUGACGGUAUCCGACGAAUAAGCCACGGCUAACUACGUGCCAGCAGCCGCGGUAAUACGAAGGUGGCAAGCGUUAUCCGGAUUUACUGGGUGUAAAGGGCGUGUAGGCGGGAUUGCAAGUCAGAUGUGAAAACUGGGGGCUCAACCUCCAGCCUGCAUUUGAAACUGUAGUUCUUGAGUGCUGGAGAGGCAAUCGGAAUUCCGUGUGUAGCGGUGA
rnacentral:rRNA from 1 species